rnacentral:rRNA from 1 species
AUUGAACGCUGGCGGCAUGCCUUACACAUGCAAGUCGAACGGUAACAGGUCUUCGGAUGCUGACGAGUGGCGAACGGGUGAGUAAUACAUCGGAACGUGCCCAGACGUGGGGGAUAACGAGGCGAAAGCUUUGCUAAUACCGCAUACGAUCUAAGGAUGAAAGCAGGGGACCGCAAGGCCUUGUGCGUUUGGAGCGGCCGAUGGCAGAUUAGGUAGUUGGUGGGAUAAAAGCUUACCAAGCCGACGAUCUGUAGCUGGUCUGAGAGGACGACCAGCCACACUGGGACUGAGACACGGCCCAGACUCCUACGGGAGGCGGCAGUGGGGAAUUUUGGACAAUGGGCGAAAGCCUGAUCCAGCAAUGCCGCGUGCAGGAUGAAGGCCUUCGGGUUGUAAACUGCUUUUGUACGGAACGAAAAGGCUCUGGCUAAUACCUGGGGCACAUGACGGUACCGUAAGAAUAAGCACCGGCUAACUACGUG